rnacentral:rRNA from 1 species
UGCGCCAAGGAAAACCGAACGAAGCGUCCGCCCCCGGCAUCCCGUUCGCGGAGCGUGCCGUGGGAUCGGGCGUCUAUCAAAUGUCAAAACGACUCUCGGCAACGGAUAUCUCGGCUCUCGCAUCGAUGAAGAACGUAGCGAAAUGCGAUACUUGGUGUGAAUUGCAGAAUCCCGUGAACCAUCGAGUCUUUGAACGCAAGUUGCGCCCGAAGCCAUUAGGCCGAGGGCACGUCUGCCUGGGCGUCACGC